rfam:Triticum aestivum genome assembly, contig: Triticum_aestivum_CS42_TGACv1_scaffold_003688_1AL
AUUCUACUCCCUCCGUUGCACAAUACAUGCCUUCUAUUUGUCAAAAUAUAUAUGUAUCUAGACAUGUUUUAGUGUAUAGGUACAUCCAUUUUUGGACAAAUGGAAGUCAAGUAUUUUGGAAUGGAGGGAGUACCCA